CUUCUCUAGCUCCUCCUGUGAAUGUGCAAAGGUGCAGCUGGCCCCUCGGGGGCAUCCUCCUCUCUGUUUCAUGUCUCGGCACAUGUACGUCUUGUAUUUGCUGUGCUGAGGAGGCUGUUGCUGAUCCGUUCCUUUCUUGCUGUGAUUCUGGAUAUAAUCAACUAAGCCAUGAACCACAGUCCUUACAGCAACUAGCCCAUUUUCCAGUUGUUCCCACGUUGGAGGUGGAGCAUCUGGGCUGGGAUCAAUAUUUGCCAGGAGCUCAAGGUGAGGUCGAAG
rnacentral:lncRNA from 1 species